rnacentral:rRNA from 1 species
GAUGAACGCUAGCGGCAGGCUUAAUACAUGCAAGUCGAGGGGUAACAGGUCUGUAGCAAUACAGAUGCUGACGACCGGCAAACGGGUGCGGAACACGUACAGAACCUUCCUUCGAGUGGGAGAUAGCCCAGGGAAACUUGGAGUAAUAUCCCAUAGGAUCAUAGAGUGGCAUCACUUAGUGAUUAAAGAUUUAUCGCUUGAAGAUGGCUGUGCGGCUGAUUAGGUAGUUGGUGUAGGUAACGGCUCACCAAGCCUUCGAUCAGUAACUGGUGUGAGAGCACGACCAGUCACACGGGCACUGAGACACGGGCCCGACUCCUACGGGAGGCAGCAGUAAGGAAUAUUGGGCAAUGGAGGCAACUCUGACCCAGCCAUGCCGCGUGGAGGAUGAAGGUCCUCUGGAUUGUAAACUUCUUUUAUUUGGGAAGAAAUGCCGAUUGUCUAAUUGGUUUGACGGUACCAGAUGAAUAAGCACCGGCUAACUCCGUGCCAGCCGCCGCCGUAACAC